rnacentral:rRNA from 1 species
GACGAACGCUGGCGGCGUGCUUAACACAUGCAAGUCGAACGGAAAGGCCCUGCUUUUGUGGGGUGCUCGAGUGGCGAACGGGUGAGUAACACGUGAGUAACCUGCCCUUGACUUUGGGAUAACUUCAGGAAACUGGGGCUAAUACCGGAUAGGAGCUCCUGCUGCAUGGUGGGGGUUGGAAAGUUUCGGCGGUUGGGGAUGGACUCGCGGCUUAUCAGCUUGUUGGUGGGGUAGUGGCUUACCAAGGCUUUGACGGGUAGCCGGCCUGAGAGGGUGACCGGCCACAUUGGGACUGAGAUACGGCCCAGACUCCUACGGGAGGCAGGAGGGGGGAAUAUUGCCACAUGGGCGGAAGCCUGAUGCAGCAACGCCGCGUGCGGGAUGACGGCCUUCGGGUUGUAAACCGCUUUCGCCUGUGACGAAGCGUGAGUGACGGUAAUGGGUAAAGAAGCACCGGCUAACUACGUG